GUUUAUUUGAUCUCAGUACUUCAUUGGUUAAAAUUCGAUUAUGACGUCAAAUUUUCUUGCUUUCCUCUGAAUUUCAUAUUGUGACGGCAUGAAAAAAGGCGACUAUGCCUGAUGACGUCAAAUAGAAAGAACACAUCUUUUUUGCAGAUCAUUCGAAAAGAAGGAAUAAGUUUGCCUGCAUAAUGUUAGAAAAUCAUUAGAGAAACAGAUUCCACCACCAAAUCUCGUGUAAUACGAUAUUUAUCCACUCUCGACAGUUAAAUUUUAAAUAUUUAAAACGCUAGGGAGGAUAAAUAUCGUAUUACACUCGAUGCAGUGGUAGAAUCUAUAUUUCUCAA
rnacentral:lncRNA from 1 species